GCGCCGGUCAGCAAGUCACCGGGAACCGGUCCCGACCGCGCCAGCUCUUCCACAUCCACAGUCCGCUGCCGUGAAGGCAUUUCGCCACGCGGGCAGCAAAGGGUCCGGCCCCGCACACCGACACAAACAGUUAAAGAGUUGGAGAUCCGUGUGCGUUCUGAACGUUUUUGCAUGGAAGCGUGCGGACGCGCGGGCGCAGCGGAGGACGAGAGAAGAAGUAGUUCCCCGACGCAUGGACACCGGACGCCAGAGGGAAGGAAUAGGGAGAACCUGAGGAGUUGCGGGCCCGGCACCAGUUGUAGGCCUCGGACCCAUCUCCGGAGUGUCAUUUGUCUGUAAUGAGUCUGGAAGCUGCACUUCAAGUGGCCAUGGAACAUGAUCUGAGGACGGGCCUGUCUGUGUGGGCCAUUAUAGCCAUUGUUUGUAACUCUGUGGUGGGUGUCCUCAUCCUCAUCCUCUUCGUCAUCCUCUACAAGGCCUGCAAAGUGCCUUCCCACCAAGAGAAAGUGCCAGUUUUCACAGCAGUGCCGCUGAGGAAGAUGCCUGAACAGAAAUACCUACUGACUGCCGCCUGAGCACGAAGGACAUUGGAAUGGUGAUUUAUUUGAGCUUUAGUCAUCUUAUAGCAACUAAACGUUUACUCACUAUUCACUCUCCGGAUGAGCGUCUGCGUCAGCUCUCUGAACCCUAAGUGUUCUUCUACAUUUUCUUUCUCUCAUCACUUACAGUCAUGAUUUGCUCUUUGUGUUUCACAUGAACGUGCAUGUUCACAUUUCUCCAUCAGCUUCUCAUCUGCGCCACUUGGCUCAGAGGUAGCAAACUGCAUUAAGAGUUGUGGCAAGUCCAACAGCAACAACAAGCGGGCCCAAUCCUCUUAUCUCUGCUGUGCGGCGCAGGGACAGUCCAUCUGUCAGUUUGCUUUGCUCUACGCAGGCUGACCGCGAGCUCCCACUAUAGACCUCAGCACCCCCCCACUCCCCCGCCCCAUAUCGCACAACUGAGAGGAUGUGGAAUGGAAACUGCAAAGACACAAUGGAUUGUAUGCAGGUACUUCGGGUUGAUGGGGUUUGGCUUAGAACACCAACAACAUGUUAGAGAUGAAGAGAAAGAAGCAGCAGCAAGCGGCUUAGUUUUUUGCCAGCUGCAUCACUAAUAACAUCAACGACAGAGAACACCAAAGCCUGGACGUCAGCACGAGGAGAAAGACGCUGCCGGAGAAAGUGUGUGAGAGUCACAACGGGGCGGAGAGGGAGACGGGCGGAGAGAGAACGGGCACAUUUAUCUCAGAGAAUGAUGAAGUUCAAGAAUCGAAGAGGGGAUGCUUUGAUGUGUUUGUUUUACAGAAAGGGAGCUCAAGGACCUGGUUUGACAGUUUCCCUUUUUGACACACAAGCUUUCACCAAUCCAACUCCCAUAGGAUUAAAAGCCGCAGCAAAAAUGUUCCUCGUGUCCCAGAGUGCCUCUCUCUCAUUUUAUGAUCUCCUGAAUAGGAUAUUUAUACACAGCCUUUACCAGAAAUGGCAGACUUACUGAACACUGACAGACUCACAAUAGUGAGUAUUGGUUUUAUUGUAGUGAAUAUAUUGCAACACAAUUUGCUGCUCAAUGUUAAUAUUCUCUAAUGGAUGGAAGAGAGACUAUGUUACAAAGCAUGUAUCUCAGCGUCAUCAGAAUAAAGUCGGCUGCAUACCUCUGUAUAUGUUUGUUUUUAAUAGUAGAUCCAAUGAUCCAAAGUCUAAUAUAGUAUACAGUUAACUUGCUAAAACAAUAAUAUGCCUUUUCCAUUUUCUGUUCGAUUAGAUGAUAUUAUUCUGUCCGGCUUAUAUGUAGACCUAAUAAUUACUUACUGAUUUACUUUACUUACUUACUCGUUAGAUAUUUGAUGAAUCAUUUAAAUCACAAUUGGGAUAAAGAAAGAACUUGAAUUUGACUAACAGAAAAACUGCCCAUUAAAACAAUAAUUUGUUGUAAUCCAACACUUUGUGUGCCUUUUGUAAGAGAUGAGUUUCUCUUUUACAGAAUAAUUUGCUGUUGUUUAUAUGCAAGGAGGAUGACAACCAAUGUUUCUCUGCUCCUUACUUGUGUAUUACCAAUAAUAACCCUUUGGCAAACAACAA